UAACAAUUCAAAUCCUUUAUAUACAUCAAUUAAUUGUGCAAUAUUGUAAAGAUAGGCUAAGCAAGCUUUAUUUUGUAACAGAUUGGUGUUGUUUCAGCACACGGUCCUAACUCCUAACAAACUUUGGAGUAACCAAUUUUGUUUUCCUGAAAUACAAGAACAGGAAGACCUCACUUUCCCUUGUUUUCUCUCUUUUUCUAUGAUAUAGCAUAUUGCUAAAAUAUGCGGUACACCAAUGGACAAAAAUCUAAACAAAGCCCCUACAGCCAUCCUAAUUCUACCAAAGUCCAAAGGUAGUGAUGAUGCUAACAUAUACAACAAAGUAACAGAGGAUCCCAGCCACAAGCACAGCCACAUAAAGGCACAACAAAGCACCAAAAACCUCUAAAACCCAGCCUAGUAUAUCCCAGCCUCAAAACCAGCCCCCAAGUUAUGGAUAUUGUGCACAAAAAACACAAACAGCUGACCAAAACCAGUCGCGCAAAAAACACAAACACAAACUUGUUAUAUUAGUAUACCAUUAUUCUACAAUUGAUUCAAAACAGCACCAAUACCAUUGUUUUCAAUCAAGAGUAACCAUUGUUAUGAAGAAAUCAUGACAAAGCAUAAUACUAACCAAAAAAUAAAUUGAAAAAAAAUGAUUUAAUUGAUGGAUAAAACUUAAUUUCAUAUACACAUUGAGAUCCAAAUUACAUGAGAGAGACUUAAUCUAAUAUACAUGUAAUCAAAAUCUGACUUGAUUGAAUACACAUAACAAGAUCUAAGCCUUCUUUAGAGACUUUCCUUCCCAAUAGCAGCUGUCCAGUUUUCUUGUUCAAAAUCUUUCAAACAGAUCCAACCUCCCUGCAACCCUUGACACACCAAAAAUCAUCUUGAUAAGCCAAAAAUCUUAUUCACCAAAACAACAUGGAUUCAAUCGAAUACGAGAUUGAGAAGGAGGGAUGUCAAUAGCCGUCGGAGGGCGAUGGUUGAAGGUUAUGGCGGCGGACGGCGAAGAAAACCGGUGGUGGUUUCUGAAUCGCGUUUUCUGGAAGCGAGAAAGAAAACUUGCGUUUUCUGUUUUCUAGGAACCAAAACCGGAGGGCGUUGUGUUUUAUUUCAUUUAAACUUGCUUUUUCAGUUUUUUUAUUAUUAUUUUAAUAAGCCUUGACACAUGUUAAAAUAUGAUUGGUCCUAUGGCACCAUAUUACUAUUGCACUGAAGACUGAAGUGCUUCCCCUCAUUCAUCAACAAUAUGGGGUUGGUUGAUUGGAAUCAUGUUCUAAGAGAAGCAAAUCAAGUGGCAUACCUAUUUGCGAAACAUGGGUUAUCUUUGAAUGAUGAUUUAAAGAUUUUUAAUUUUGUUCCUAGUUUUAUUUCUUUGCCUUUGUUGAC
rnacentral:lncRNA from 1 species